UUUUCAAAUUUUAGCAUCUAAGUUUACUGAACAAUCACUCACUCACACUCAUAGAUCAUGCAAAAUGCAUGUGAACUACAACUUUGGAAGCUUAUAAAGGAGCCAUCCCUUUUCUUGCAAUUCCAGGUUUGAGCACAGGGAAGAGAACAAAAAAGAUUGUUUGAGGACUCUAUACGCCUUGAUUGAAGACGCGAUGAAAGCAGAUAAACUAGUGGAGGCGGCUCGAAACGCCUACGUCAAAGAUCGACUGAGGGCCAACCCACAAUUUAUGGAGAGAUUGAGGACAAAAAGAGCAAAAAUGCAAGGGGGGCCUCAAUCACUCCCUUUGUUCAAGUAUAUAUUCGUGGAGCCGAUUAGAAUUCGUUUAUGCUCUUUUGAUUUUGUUAUCAUCCAAUUUUUAAUUUUUUGUAUUUUUUUCAGAGUUUGAUUUAUUAUAAUUACUACAACAUAUGAGUGGAUAUUAUUGUUGUGACGUAUGUAUAUUUGAUUUUAGUUUUAUCAUUUUAAUAAGAAUUUAAAAAACUUUGUUGAUU